rnacentral:rRNA from 1 species
GGGAAUCUGCCUUUAGGUAAGGAAUAACUCAGGGAAACUUGAGCUAACACCUUAUAAUGUCUUCGGACCAAAUAUUUAUAGCCUAAAGAUGAGCCCGCGGUAGAUUAGCUAGUUGGUGGGGUAAUGGCCUACCAAGGCGACGAUCUAUAGCUGGUCUUAGAGGAUGAUCAGCCACACUGGGACUGAGACACGGCCCAGACUCCUACGGGAGGCAGCAGUGGGGAAUAUUGGGCAAUGGGCGAAAGCCUGACCCAGCUAUGCCGCGUGAAUGAUGAAGGCCUUAGGGUUGUAAAGUUCUUUUAGAUGGGAAGAUAAUGACGGUACCAUCAGAAAAAGCUCCGGCUAACUUCGUGCCAGCAGCCGCGGUAAUACGAAGGGAGCAAGCGUUGCUCGGAUUUAUUGGGCGUAAAGGGUGUGUAGGCGGUUUGAUAAGUUAGAUGUGAAAGCCCCGGGCUCAACCCGGGAAUUGCAUUUAAGACUGUUGAACUUGAAGUUUGGAGAGGUUAGCAGAAUUCCCAGU